UGCGUAGGUGGCGCCGUAAGUCAGGUGUGAAAUUUCGGAGCUUAACUCCGAAACUGCAUUUGAUACUGCGGUGCUUGAGGACUGGAGAGGAGACUGGAAUUCACGGUGUAGCAGUGAAAUGCGUAGAUAUCGUGAGGAAGACCAGUGGCGAAGGCGGGUCUCUGGACAGUUCCUGACACUGAGGACAAGGCCAGGGGAGCAAACG
rnacentral:rRNA from 1 species